UGUUCAACUUUUUUAAUUUAAAAAAAAAAUUCUAAAACAGUCUUUCAAGAUGGUUUUUUUGAAAAAUCAUCUUAAAAUGAUAGUUUUCUUAAGACGGUUUUUUAAGAACCAUUGUAGAAAGUCUUGACUUUCCAUGAUGUUGGCUUCUAAAACAGUUCAAAACCGUCUUUGAAUAGGUCGCAAAAUCGUCGUGGAAAACACUUUUUCCAGUAGUGGCAGUUAAAGCCAAUCUUGCAUCUUCACUAAGCUUGGGAAACUGCCAAACAUGAAUAAAGACAUUAUGAUGCUUAUCAGGAGGACAAAACAAAUCACAAAAAUAUUGAUGGACCACUAUCCUUAAGAGAUUACCAUCCUUACACCAAAUACCAUUAUUCAACAAAAUCUUAUGAAUGGUAUUUCUCCUUCGCCUAACAAUCGUCUAGGUAUGGAAGAAUUUAGUAUUCUAGUCACUAGAUCUAAUCCAAUUCUCUCCUGAUUUUUGGAACCAAAUAAUUCCUUAUGCUUCAGAAUCUCCAUGUAUUCAGAUUGAAGCUCCACUUCUAGAGCCAACAAACAAGCAUCAAGAUUGACCUCCAUGUUUCUCUAAAUCCCAUGCUACCCGACUUCCACUCUUCUCUUCCUAUUCCUAAUAACAUUUUUAUUAAAAUGUUUGGAUUUUCCCCUUACCUCAUUAAGCUUCAUGACAAGUCCAUGCAAAAAGGAAACACCAAGUGUAACAUCCCAAUUUUUCAUGUGUUUGUGGUAGACAGUGUUAUUUCUUUGUUAUGCGAUUGGGUGGUGUUUUUAGACUAUUCAAAUGGUUAAGAAAUGAGAUGUUAUCAUAGGAUUCCUAGGCAUGGUUAAACUCUUAAGUUUCUAUGCUAAAGUCUAGAAAGAAUAAGGAUAAUAAGAGAAAAUUCUCUAGCUAAAUAAUGGUCAACUUAUUAAUGACCUAGAUGUUAAUAAGUGGAUUUUGGUCUAGAAAUAGAAAUUAGAAGCUUGAAAUAAAAUUAGUAAUUAAUGUUAGCAAAGUUAGAAAUUAAGUGGGAAUAAUGAAGGUUGAUUAAUGGUGAUUUAGAUUCCAUAGAAUUAGAAAAGGGGUAAUUAAGUCAUAAGAGUUUAAAGUGGAGGGCAUUUUCGUAAAUGACUAUAUAACUAGUUUAAAAAUAGAAUUUUAGGUUAAUUAGUUGUUGAAUAAUUAAAGUGUCUAAUUAUAUGAUGUAGAAUAAUUAAAAUAAGUUAGAGUUGGAAUACCCUGAUUACUACUCUGACUAAUAGAGAAAACUUUUAGCAAAAAUAGUUUUUAUCAUUUUUGGCAAAACUCUACUUUAUCCUUUUAUAGUUAGUUAGUUUUGGAAAAGUGCAAGAAGCCAUAUAAGGCAUGGUUGAGCUCGUGGAGAGAACCUCAAGGGAUAUUCAAGCUACCAAUUUGUCAUAUUAAUGGUCAUUCAAAAUGCUUAAAUUAAGAAGAUAACAAUUAGGCCUUGCAAUCCCAUUAGUCCAAGCAUUUCACUUACAAUAAAUGUUGUUUUUAAAAGCCAAAGUCUAGGCCAGUUCUCCCAUUUUACUAAAGCUUUGAGAGAAAGAGAAGACCAUAUUUUUCUUCUUCUUACAAUUUUUACCAAGUGUUCUUGUGCCCUUCUUCCAUCAAACUUAGGUAAGUGACCUCCAUUUUCAACUCUAUGCUUGAUUUUCACUUCAUUUUCUAGCUCUAUUCUCACUUGUAGUUUCAAAACCUUAUUUUGCACGCUUGAAGGUUGUAAACUUGAAUCUAAAC
rnacentral:lncRNA from 1 species